UACGUAGGGGGCAAGCGUUGUCCGGAAUUAUUGGGCGUAAAGAGCGUGUAGGCGGUCCGGUAAGUCAGCUGUGAAAGUCAAGGGCUCAACCCUUGAAUGCCGGUUGAUACUGUCGGGCUAGAGUCCGGAAGAGGCGAGUGGAAUUCCCGGUGUAGCGGUGAAAUGCGCAGAUAUCAGGAGGAACACCGGUGGCGAAGGCGGAUCUCUGGGCCGAUACUGACGCUGAGGAGCGAAAGCGUGGGGAGCGAACAGG
rnacentral:rRNA from 1 species